UGGGGAAUAUUCCGCAAUGGACGAAAGUCUGACGGAGCAAUGCCGCGUGAGUGAUGAAGGCCUUUGGGUCGUAAAACUCUGUCUUUGGGGAUGAAACCAUUAUGUGCUAAUACCACAUAGUAUUGACAGUACCCGAGGAGGAAGCCCCGGCUAACUACGUGCCAGCAGCCGCGGUAAUACGUAGGGGGCGAGCGUUGUCCGGAAUCAUUGGGCGUAAAGGGGGUGUAGGCGGUUUUGUAAGUCAGAUGUGAAAACUUGAGGCUCAACUUCAAGACUGAAUCUGAAACUACAUCACUGGAGGGCAGGAGAGGAAAGUGGAAUUCCAUGUGUAGCGGUGAAAUGCGUAGAUAUAUGGAAGAACACCAGUGGCGAAGGCGACUUUCUGGACUGAACCUGACGCUGAGGCACGAAAGCCAGGGGAGCGAACG
rnacentral:rRNA from 1 species